rnacentral:rRNA from 1 species
GAAGGGUGCAAGCGUUAAUCGGUAGUGCUGGGCGUAAAGCGCGCGUAGGUGGUUCAGCAAGUUGGAUGUGAAAUCCCCGGGCUCAACCUGGGAACUGCAUCCAAAACUACUGAGCUAGAGUACGGUAGAGGGUGGUGGAAUUUCCUGUGUAGCGGUGAAAUGCGUAGAUAUAGGAAGGAACACCAGGGGCGAAGGCGAUGACCUGGACUGAAACAUGGAUCUUAUACACAUCUGCCGCGGCCGACGAAUAGUUCAG